rnacentral:rRNA from 1 species
AUUGAACGCUGGCGGCAGGCCUAACACAUGCAAGUCGAGCGGAUGAAGGGAGCUUGCUCCUGGAUUCAGCGGCGGACGGGUGAGUAAUGCCUAGGAAUCUGCCUGGUAGUGGGGGGUAACGUCCGGAAACGGGCGCUAAUACCGCAUACGUCCUGCGGGUGAAAGAGGGGGAUCUUCGGACCUCACGCUAUCAGAUGAGCCUAGGUCGGAUUAGCUAGUUGGUGGGGUAAAGGCCUACCAAGCCGACGAUCCGUAUCUGGUCUGAGAGGAUGAUCAGUCACACUGGAAGGGAGACACGGUCCAGACGCCUACGGGAGGCAGCAGUGGGGAAUAUUGGACAAUAGGCGAAAGCCUGAUCCAGCCAUGCCGCGUGUGUGAAGAAGGUCUUCGGAUUGGAAAGCACUUUUAGUUGGGAUGAAGGGCAGUAAGUUGAUACCUUGCUGUUUUGACGGUACCGACAGAAUAAGCACCGGCUAACUACGUG